AUUGAACGCUGGCGGCAGGCCUAACACGUGCAAGUCGAACGGUAACAGGAAGCAGCUUGCUGCUUCGCUGACGAGUGGCGGACGGGUGAGUAAUGUCUGGGAAACUGCCUGAUGGAGGGGGAUAACUACUGGAAACGGUAGCUAAUACCGCAUAACGUCGCAAGACCAAAGAGGGGGACCUUAGGGCCUCUUGCCAUCGGAUGUGCCCAGAUGGGAUUAGCUAGUAGGUGGGGUAACGGCUCACCUAGGCGACGAUCCCUAGCUGGUCUGAGAGGAUGACCAGCCACACUGGAACUGAGACACGGUCCAGACUCCUACGGGAGGCAGCAGUGGGGAAUAUUGCACAAUGGGCGCAAGCCUGAUGCAGCCAUGCCGCGUGUAUGAAGAAGGCCUUCGGGUUGUAAAGUACUUUCAGCGGGGAGGAAGGGAGUAAAGUUAAUACCUUUGCUCAUUGACGUUACCCGCAGAAGAAGCACCGGCUAACUCCGUG
rnacentral:rRNA from 1 species